rnacentral:rRNA from 1 species
UACAGAGGGUGCGAGCGUUGUCCGGAAUCACUGGGCGUAAAGGGCGCGUAGGUGGCCCGACAAGUCACUGGUGAAAGCUCGACGCUCAACGUCGAGUCGGCCAGUGAUACUGUUGGGCUGGAGCACUGUAGAGGCUCAUGGAAUUCCGGGUGUAGCGGUGGAAUGCGCAGAUAUCAGGAGGAACACCGAUGGCGAAGGCAGGUCUCUGGGCCGAUACUGACGCUGGAGGAGCGAAAGCGUGGGGAGCGAACAGG